CAGCCGCCGCGGUAAUACGGAGGGAGCUAGCGUUAUUCGGAAUUACUGGGCGUAAAGCGUGCGUAGGUGGUGGUUUAAGUCCGUUGUGAAAGCCCUGGGCUCAACCUGGGAAUUGCAGUGGAUACUGGGUCACUAGAGUGUGGUAGAGGAUAGUGGAAUUUCCGGUGUAGCAGUGAAAUGCGCAGAGAUCGGAAGGAACAUCUGUGGCGAAGGCGACUAUCUGGGUCAACACUGACACUGAGGCACGAAAGCGUGGGGAGCAAACAGGAUUAGAUACCCCCAGUAGUCCCUGUCUCUUAUA
rnacentral:rRNA from 1 species